rnacentral:rRNA from 1 species
CCUGCCAGUAGUCAUAUGCUUCGUUCAAGGGCUAAGCCAUGCACGUCUCAGCGCAAACGGGUUCCACAGUGAGUCUGUGAAUGGCUCCUUACAUCAGCAGUCAUUUCCAUGAUAGAGUGUGGAUGGCACUACCUGCCAAGUGCCCGCUUGGAUAUCCUCCAAAACCUGGUGGCUAAUACACGGUCGAGAGGGUCCGCUGCGUUCCCGUUACUGUGAAGGCGGUUCGUCCGCCGGCGCUCGCCGGUCGGUGGACUGCGCCCGGCUGUCUGUGAAGAUCAGCACCCGGAUAACGGUAGCGUGUCGCUGUUGACCCAGGCCGGUCCCUCCGGGACGGCUGCGCUGGCAGAGUGGUGGGCCUCGGUCCACAGCAUUGCUUGAUCGUACAAACUUCUGACCUAUCAGCUCGGACUGUAGUGUCGUGGACUACAGUGGCGGUGACGGGUGACGGAGAAUCAGGGUUCGACUCCGGAGAGGGAGCCUGAGAGACGGCUACCACUACCAAGGUGGGCAGCAGGCACGCAAAUUGCCCCUUGCCAAGACGUAUCGGUGAGGCAGCGACGAACCGCAGCGAUCCCGCCCGUCCUCUGUGACUAGCGGGACUUGCAAUGGAUGCUAUCCAAACACAGCUAUGAGCAACAACUGGAGGGCAAGUCUGGUGCCAGCAGCCGCGGUAAUUCCAGCUCCAAGGGUGUAUACUGACAUUGCUGCUGUUAAAACACUUGUAGUCGGAUGCCGGGCGCGGGUCCGCCGGGUGGCCGGCGGGCGGCGGUCUUCGGGCCGUCCGUCCGCUGGAACCCAACCCCCGGCUGUAAGCCCCCGCGCCCGAGUCUUCAGGAUGGCCGAGCCGCUCCCGCCCAAGCCCCCUUCAGUGGGGGCCGAAGUGGCGUCGCGCCCAACGCCCGCGCGGCGGUGUCCGGGGUCGCUCACGCGCUCCCCGCACCGCCCGCCGCCGGAGCCGGUCCAUCGCUGUCACCGUGGAAAACCCAGUGUGCUCCAAGCAACCGUUCGGCUGGAUGUCCGUCCAUGGAAUGGCAAAGCAUCGACCUGAUAGUGGCCACUGUUUGUUGCUCUUGGUCUUGGGGCCCUGCCAGGGCAAACGAGGUGCCUAACCCCCGYYGGGUGACCCCGCGGACCCGAUCCCCCUCCGGGGGGUGAGGGGAAGCCGGAACCCACGGGGGAGGUGCCGUCUCGGCUUCGAUGGGACCGCUCGGGGUGCAAGGCAUUGCUGCGCCAGAGGUGAAAUUCUUAGACCGCCGCAAGGCCAACGGCGGCGAAGGCGUUCUGCAAGUGCGUGUUCGUCGAUCAAGAAUGAGAGUGUGGGGAGCGAAGAUGAUUAGACACCGUCGUAGUCCACCACGGUAAACCAUGCCGGCUCGGUGCCGAGAGCACAUCAUCAUACUAUGCUCCCGGCGCCUGCCAUCCCCCUUCAACGAGAAAUCCAAGCCUUUGGGUUCAGGGGGGAGUACUGUCGCAAGGCUGAAACUUAAAGGAAUUGACGGAAUGGCACCACAAGGCGUGGAGUAUGCGGCUUAAUUUGACUCAACACGGGGAACGUUACCGGGUCCGGACGAUGCCGGGAUGGACAGACCGAGAGCUCUUUCCUGAUUCCUCGGACGGUGGUGCAUGGCCGCUCCCUGAUUGGUGGAGUGAUUUGUCUGGUUGAUUCCGAUAACGAGUGAGACAUCCGCCUCCCACUAGCCUGGACCUCGCAUCCGGUAGGGUCCGGCACGGGUCGCGGGCGGGGUAAGUCGGUCCCUCCCGGGUCCCGGCCCCCCGUCCGUCCCGGUUCGCCGCCCGAGAGGUCUCCAGCCAAGCUUCUCUGAGGCGCUGUGCACGCCCACUCCAAGUGCAAGCACGCUAGAGCCAACAGCAGGUCUGUGAUGCUCCCAGAUGUCCUGGGCCGCACGCGCACUACACUGGACCGGUGAAUGAGCCGAAUGUAUCUGACUGUGUCUUGAGCGCGGCCGUGCCCUGAAGGGGGUGGGAACCCUUGGAAGCCCCGUCCGUGCCUGGGGAUAGAUGCUUGCAACUGUCUGCCUUGAACGAGGAAUGCCUAGUAUGCGCGGGUCAUCAGCCCGCACAGAUUGCGUCCCUGCCAUUUGUACACACCGCCCGUCGUUGCUACCGAUGGCAGCGGGAUAGAGCCGUUAGGAGGAGCGGGCCGUCUUCGGGCGGGCCCGGGCCGAACCUUGGCGAUGUCCCGCUGCUAGAGGAAGCAAAAGUCGUAACAAGGUUGUUGUAGGUGAA